CCUACGGGUGGCAGCAGUGGGGAAUCUUGCACAAUGGGGGAAACCCUGAUGCAGCGACGCCGCGUGAAGGAUGAAGUAUUUCGGUAUGUAAACUUCUAGCAGCAGGGAAGAAAAUGACGGUACCUGACUAAGAAGCCCCGGCUAACUACGUGCCAGCAGCCGCGGGAAUACGUAGGGGGCAAGCGUUAUCCGGAUUUACUGGGUGUAAAGGGAGCGUAGACGGUAUGGGAAGUCUGAUGUGAAAAGCCGGGGCUCAACCCCGGGACUGCAUAGGAAACUGCCGAACUAGAGUAUUGGAGAGGGAACUGGAAUUCCUAGUGUAGCGGUGAAAUGCGUAGAUAUUGGGAGGAACACUAGUGGCGAAGGCGGCUUGCUGGACGAUGACUGACGUUGAGGCUCGAAAGCGUGGGGAGCGAACAGGAUUAGAUACCCCAGUAGUC
rnacentral:rRNA from 1 species